AUCCCAGGCCGCCAGGAGGCUGGGCCGGAGGCCCGGACCCCGGCUGGCAAGGGGCCGGGCGGCUGGAACCCCAGACCGUCAGCGAGUAGGAGACACUCCGAGAGACCCCCCACCUGAAUAGCUCUUGGGUUGGGACACUCCCCAGGCUGCGUUACAGGAGACCCAGGCAUAAGUCGCUUCUCCACAUCAGGCAGAAGGGCGUGGUGGGAUUAAACAUUCUUCUUCCAGGUGUUGGGUUCCUGAAUAACAUGUGUUGAUGGCCCAUUAAGAUGAAUCAACUCUUCAGUGAGCCCCUCCUGAAGAUGCCUCAGAGGGCACAGAGAUAAUGGCUGCCCCAUGACUCAGCAAUGGCAUGUAAGGACAUGUGAUCCAAGACUCCAUGUUUGUGCCAGUAACUUUCCGUGCACGUGGGCUGGGUAUAUAAAAGUGGGGACUGUGAAUCACUUUGCCUCUUUCCUGCUCCACAUCUCUGGAUUGUGAUUUCUAACAAGAAGAGCUUUGAACA